GACGAACGCUGGCGGCGUGCUUAACACAUGCAAGUCGAACGGUAAAGCCCUGCUUUUGUUGGGUGCUCGAGUGGCGAACGGGUGAGUAACACGUGAGUAACCUGCCCUUGACUUUGGGGUAACUUCAGUAGACUGGGUCUCAUACCCGAUAUGAGCUCCUGCUGCAUGUUUGGUGUUGUAAAGAUUCGGCGGUUGGGCAUGACCUCGCGGCCUAUCAGCGUGUUGGUGGGGUAGUGGCUUACCAGGGCUUUGAGGGGUCGCCGGACUGGGAGGGUGACAGGCCACAUUGGGACUGAGAUACGGGCAAGACGGCUACGGGAGGAAGCAGUGGGGCACAGUGCACAAUGGGCGGAAGGCUGAUGGAGGAACGCCGCGUGCGGGAGGACGGCCGUCGGGUUGUAAACCGUUUGCGCCUGUGACGAAGAGUGAGUGACGGUAAUGGGUAAAGAAGCAACGGCUAACUACGUG
rnacentral:rRNA from 1 species